rnacentral:rRNA from 1 species
AAUUUUGGACAACGGGGGAAACCCUGAUCCAGCCAUCUCGCGUGUAUGAUGAAGGCCUUCGGGUUGUAAAGUACUUUUGGCAGAGAAGAAAAGGUAUCUCCUAAUACGAGAUACUGCUGACGGUAUCUGCAGACUAAGCACCGGCUAACUACGUGCCAGCAGCCGCUGUAAUACGUAGGGUGCAAGCGUUAAUCGGAAUUACUGGGCGUAAAGCGUGCGAAGGAGGUUCGAAAAGAAAGAAUGUAAAUCCCAGGGCUCAACCUUGGAACUGCAUUUUUAACUGCCGAGCUAGAGUAUGUCAGAGGGGGGUAGAAUACCACGUGUAGCAGUGAAAUGCGUAGAUAUGUGGAGGAAUACCGAUGGCGAAGGCAGCCCCCUGGGAUAAUACUGACGCUCAGACACGAAAGCGUGGGGAGCAAACA